GUGAGGCCAGUCUUGGUGUAUUAUCAUUGACAUCAGAAACAUAGAGGAGCACCGUGCCACUGCCUGUCUGAGGAGGGUCACCUGCAUUCAAAACAUUAUAAGAAACAAAUUGGUUUACCACAAAGAGAGGUGUCUUCUCCCUAUCAAUUGAGCGGUGAACGUAGACAACGCCAUUGAGAUCGUCGAUAGUGAAUAAGCCAACCUCUGGAAAUUCAUCCACGCCAGGGCCGCUGAUUAGAUAUUUAAUGCUCAUGUUGGCUGCUUGAUCAUUGAACAGCUGAAAAUGAGAGAAGAAUAAGAUCAUUUUAGUGUUUUUUUUAGGGCCAAUGACUAGUCUUUGCCCUAGAGUAUACUAUAUCAUCAGUUUAGUUCUCAAUUUAAUAAAAUGUUUUUGUUUGUUUGUCUGAUUUUUUUCAAAAUGAGUUGCAAAACAUCCUCUAAAUGUACGAGUAAGACAAAUCAAUGUAGGAGUAAGACAAAUAUUUUCGGCAUAUAAAACAGCAGCAGUUAAACAUGUUAGAAAGUUCUUUUGCAAGGAAAAGCAACAGAAAAUGCCAAAUGCAUGAAAGCUAAAAAGUUAAUUUAUUUUGCCCAGAAACCAGUGAAAAACGGAACCUGCAAAGUGUUCUCUUUCUAAAUACAAUAAUUAUAGUUUGUGCUGUAACAAAGUCUCACUACUUGUUAAGAGGAAUACUAUCACUUGGUUUGAAAGGUUUCGUUCUUACCUCUCCUGCAAUUUUUGGGAAGGGCCCAACAUCGUUCUCUUCUAAGACUAUGGUACUUAGCACCCAUCUUCUUUUUGUGCGUCGUAGUGGCCUGAGGCUCUCUGCCUGAUUGAGGCUCUGUUGAUUGAAGGCAUGGGAAAGAGAUUACUUAGGAGUUUUUCUUUAGAGGGUUCUACUACCUUGUCAACAGCCUGACAUUAUAAUUACCACAUUUUAAAACAAAAAAAAAGUCUUAAAAAAUAUUUACAGCACACAUUUGUUUAUAGCUAUGAUGUAAAUUGUCAUACAAAUGUAUCUGCUUAUUGUGGGUUUAGGAGAAAAGUUUGGCUAAUCUUUUAAAGGGACACCAAAGAUAAAAUGAAACAGUGCUGAUUCAGAGUGUACAAAUUUAAAAACGUUGUGAAAACUUUAUGUAUAGUUUUAUUACAUACACUGCAAACACAGCUGUCCUAUAGUACUUUAUAUAAAUGUAAGCUAUCUAGAUAUCCCCUCACGAAAUGGAGCUACAUUUCAACCAACAAAGGAUACCAAGAGAAAGGGAUACAUUUAAGAAAAUAAGUAAUUUGUUAAUUGUAUAGUAUUGUAUGUCUAAAUCAUGAAAGUUAGUAGUGAUACUAAAGUUUAAAAGUUCCAAACAAAGAAUUUAAAUCUGUUCAGGUCAUUUAUAUAGUAUGUUUUUUUCCCCUUAAAUUUAUGUGUGAGAAUUUAAUUGAAUAAAGAUUAUGUUUACCUUUAUCACAGCUUAACCCCUUAAAAAAAAAAUUCUUUUGGGACAUAGCAUCGAGUAUAGCCAAUAAGAAGCUGUGUCACAUGUCCUUGCAAUAAGAAUUGAAGCCUGCUCACACAUGCACAGCAGAGCUUUACUCAAUGAUAUUGCAGACAAACUACAUAUGCAAAGUUCCUCUGCCAAGACCAGGUGCACCAAUUUAAUCCUUGAUAUAGGGGUCAAUUUAUUAUUGUGCGGACGGACAUGAUACGAUGUAGCGUAUCAUGUCCACUGCACAUUGAGAAAUGCCGACAGCAUACACUGUCGGCAUUUAUCAUUGCACCGGCAGUUCGUGUGAACUGCUGGUGCAAUACCGCCCCCUGCAGAUUCAAGGCCAAUGGGCCGCUAGCAGGGGGUGUCAAUCAACCCGAUCGUAUUCGAUCGGGUUGAUUUAUGUCCCCCGCCUCAGAGCAGGCGGACAAGUUAUGGAGCAGCGGUGUUUAGACCGCAGCUUCAUAACUUCUGUUUCCGGCAAGCCUUCAGGGGGCAUCAAGCUCUGUACGGAACUUGAUAAAUUGACCCCAUAAAGUAAAAUGGCUCUAUACUUCAUUUUUUAACACAGCAAUAUUUAGAAAGGGGCAGAGGGCAGAAGUAAAGCCAGUAUAAUAAUUUGAUUUAAUCCACAGUUACAUAAUUUGUAAAUUAAAAGCACUGUAGAUUCAUGUACAGAUUUUAUUAUUUAUUGUCUCUUAACAUGAAUGUCAAUUUAAUUGUUGAAUAACAACUAAAAAAAAGCUUUGAUAAAUGCUAUACUACAGUAUAUAUAGUAGGCAUUGGAAUAUACUACUAUAACAUUCAAGCUGUGAUUAAAUGGAAUCUGUUUAUAAUCAAAGAGAAUAUUAACAGCCAAACAUGUCAGAUUCCAAUGAAUUUUAUUUACCACUGAGAACUUUGUGGUUUUUGGUUUGUGUAUAGCAUAAUAAUAGUAAUGCAAGGGUUAAAGGCACAGUUUAGCCCAAAAUUUUCUCCCCUUUAAAUUUGUUCCAAAUGAUCCAUUUUAUCUGACUGAGCAUAUUAUCUAGUUUACAAAUAGCUCAUUUACCCUUACUUCUGCAUUUGAAAUUGCUGAUUUUGCAUGUGGUAUCCCUACCUAUAUUGAAAGUUUCCUUACUUAAAGGCACAGGCUAGUCAAAAUUAGCCAAUCAUGAUUCAGAUAAGGCAUGUAAUUUAAAACAAUUCUCUAAUUUACUUUUAUCAUUAAAUUUGCUUUGUUUUCUUGGCAUUCUUUGUUGAAAGCUAAGACUAGGUAGGCUCAUAUGCUAAGUUUUAGUCCCUUAUCUCAGUGCAUUUUGACAGUUUUUCACUCACAGCUAGACAACACUAGUCCAUGUGUGCCAUAUAGACAGAUAGACAUUGUGCUCACUCCUGUGGAGUUAUUUAUGAGUCAGCACUGAUUGGCAAUAAGCAUGUCCGUCAAAAGAACUGGAAAAAAAAAUGGGGCGGUCUGCAGAGGCUAAGAUACAAGGUAAUCACAGAGGUAAAAAGUGUAUUAAUAUAACAGUGUUGAUUGUGCAAAACUGGGGAAUGAGUAAUAAAGGGAUUAUCUAUCUUUUUAAACAAUACAAAUUCUGUAGUAGACUGUCCCUUUAAGUAUAGGCUAUUAAAAAGUUAUGUAAACACUAUACAAAUUGAAACAAAAUAAAUUAUCGUUGGUUACACUUAGAA